rnacentral:tRNA from 1 species
GCGCCUGUAGUUUAAUAAUAGAACACUUGGCUUCCAGCCGAGAGGUGGCGGUGCAAUUCCGACCCGAGCGCUCCA